UACGUAGGGUGCGAGCGUUGUCCGGAAUUAUUGGGCGUAAAGGGCUCGUAGGCGGUUUGUCGCGUCGGGAGUGAAAACACCGGGCUUAACUCGGUGCUUGCUUCCGAUACGGGCAGACUAGAGGCAUGCAGGGGAGAACGGAAUUCCUGGUGUAGCGGUGAAAUGCGCAGAUAUCAGGGGGAACACCGGUGGCGAAGGCGGUUCUCUGGGCAUGUCCUGACGCUGAGGAGCGAAAGUGUGGGGGAGCGAACAGG
rnacentral:rRNA from 1 species